rnacentral:lncRNA from 1 species
UUUUUCAUUUGUGCAAACAGCAGAUGGUAGUUUUAGACUAAUGCUGAGACAUAAGGUAGUGAGGGAACAUUCAUGACAAAAAGCAGCUGCCGAGAAGAUAGCUGCAACGGGUCCCGUGCGCAGCGUACUGAAAUACUACACAGAAGCUUGGGCCAUGUUUAGUUCCCUCCAAACUCCCAACUUUGACACUAUGCAAAAAGAAGAUUCCCCAUCACAUCAAACUUGCGGUACAUACAUGGAGUACUAAAUGUAGACGAAAUCAAAAACUAAUUGCACAGUUUUGUUGUACUUUGCGAGACGAAUCUUUUGAGCCUAAUUAGUCAAUAUUUGGACAAUAAUUCACAAAUACAAACGAAACGCUACAGUUGCGCAUUUAUGGCAAAAUGCUAAUUUUGCCACUCCCAACUUAGGAACUAAACAAGACCUUGAGCUCUCUCCAACUGUACAGCUUUGCCGAUGUAAAAUCAUGAGUGCGAAGGUUGCGUGUCCCAGAAACAUUUUUGGCACCGGAUCUUCUUCACCCAUUAAUUACGGCAGCAGGUUGAUACGGACGA